rnacentral:lncRNA from 1 species
GGGGUGAGCAGAUUAUGACUGAAUUUUCAUUUUGGUGUGAACUGUUCCUGUAAAUCAGUUUUUUAUAGUACAGCACAGUGAAACGUACUAAUUUUCAUUGUUUCCUGAUGCAGUGUAAGUGACAGACAUAUUAAUUCAUUGGCAGAAGAAUAUGGCAUAAAUAGGAGAUUCAAAGGUUUAAUUCAGGAUUCAAGAUUCAAAGGUUUAAUUAUCUUUAAUGAUCUUUUUAUUAAAAAAAAAUAGUGCAACCGGAAAUACAUUUUAAAUAAGAAAAUAAAACUGAAAACAGAAAAAAUAUAGAUAUACCUAUUAUAAACAAGUAAUAGAUAUAAAUAAGUGACAAAGACAGAUGUAUUUAUAUUACAGAAAAAGAUGAAGAAGACCGUGUGCAGAGUAGAAAGAUACGGGUUUAAUAUAUAUUUAUGAGCGUAUGUAAAUAUAAACUGUACUAAUAUACUAUUAUUAUCGAUCAUUUACAUGUAGAGUGUAACCUGAGGUACAGGCUACACACUCCGGUACAGUAGGUGGCGGUAUGCACCUUUGCACGUUGGAUUGCGAUCCGGGGAAGAAGAAGAAGAAGAAGAAGAAGAAGAAGACGACGACGAACAACAACAACAAGAAGAAGACGAAGUAGAGGGAAAAACAACAACACGAAAAAGUUAGAAGGUGAAGUUCGACGGACUCGCUAGCUAGUUUACAAGAAUGAAAUACGACUUUGGAUGCUCUUCCAUUGUCCUUUUCUUAAUAAAAAGUGGGAAAUGUUCGAGUUCCGAGAUGUCUGGAGCGCAGCCACAAGAAUAACGGCAAAAGGGCGUUUCAUUUGACGGCCUGUCGCUAUAACAUCAUCGAGAGUGUCAGAGAGCGAGGAAAGAAGUAAAACACCAGUUUGACAUCCUGUGAACCUGCUGAAGAUUAAAAAUGCCCACACCUGUGCAAACCCGAAAGUUGCUGAAAGAAUACCUGAGUCAUCUGAAUGAUAAAAGGAUGGAGGAAUUUCAUUGGGAAUUGUGGCAGAUUGAGACAGAUGGAUCCCAUCCCAUCCCGGAGUCCAAGCUGCCACGGAAUUCUACCAUAGAGGCAACUGUGGAUAAACUGGUGGAGGCUUUCGGGGAAGAUGAUGCUGUGGAGAGGACAGUGGCCGCUUUACGUGCGAUUAAACAUAAUGAACUUGCCUCAAAGCUAGAGCAAGCCAAAAUGGACCAAAGCAGGGAACAGAAAGCAGAUGAGCCAGAGAUCUCCUCUGCAACAGAGAAACCAAGAGGAGUCAAUCCCGACCUCACCAAGAAUAUCUCUUGUUUCUUUGCUGAACAUAUGCAGGGUGUCCUCAGUUGCUCCUGCGAUCACAAAGACUGGAAGAGCGACAUCUUUUGGACUGAACCCGCGAACAUCAGAAAGAAGCUGAAAGCUUUCAAAACUGUCAAAAAAUGGCGCAAUUCAUCAAUUGAGCAAAUUAUGACUCAGAGCUACUUCAAAGAGGAGCAGAUUAUGAACGACUUCAAGAGGCGUCGUGCCUUACUCCACGAAGAGGAAGAGACCAAACGAGCUGCAUUAAGAGAAGAAACAAGACAGAAGAUCCGUGCGACAAAUUGGAUCGCUGACACGACUGAAGACAUAUUCAUGGUCUCUGAAAUUAAAGCCAAUCGAAGGUUCCGGGCCAACAAAAGAUUCACAGAGACUUUGCAGGUCUGUACGGUUUUCAUAAUAAGCGUACUUUUGGCUGUGGGGAUUGGUUGGACUUUAACAAUUUUCGCACCGCCGGCUACAUGUGUCGAAGCACGUGGAAAACCUUCCGCUCGCAGUCUUGGAGAAGAUGUGGAACAACAUAAAAAAAACGGAGAUGAAGCUAAAUGAUACACAGCAGCCGUGUCCUUGAAACCCAGAAUGCAGCACCAGCCAUCAGCAGAAUCUACAGGAAAGUCCCAAAAGGAGGAGAGUAGAACAAGACUAUGAAAAUGGGAAAGUGUCAUUACAUGAUCCUGAUAAUAACACAUCCAUCCUGACCCAUGAGCAGACAUUCACUCAUUUUCCUGUCUUGAAUUUCGGUGAUGACACUGACGAUGAGGUCGAGCAGGGCUUUCUACUACUGAAAGACUAGUAGAACUAUAUUAAAACGGAAAUUAUAGAAAAACACAUUUGAUUGCAAAGGAUAUUAUUCUGUUCUUUAAACUAUCAAAACAGCUGGUGUUGUUUCCUACAAUUCAACAAAAGUACUCAACAGAUGGACUGCUACUAAACAAAAACAACCAAACAACAGAAUACCUCCUGACAGAAACUUUGGACAUCAGAGGUAAAGGGGCAGGAGCCAAAACCCUCUGAUGUCACAUCAUUGUACUUUAUUACUAUUGUUUGAUGUUACAUGCUUUAAACUUAUUAAGCCAUUAUUGUUGUUGUGAUGCACUCAGAUAAAAUCUUCAUAUCUUGCUUGAAAAAAUUAUAUUACGUGGUUGAAAUACUGAAAAACUUCUAUCUGAUGCACUGUUACAUUUAGCACUUAGCGCAAAGCACCACUGUGGCUAAAUCCAGCCUGACUGGGCUGCUGGCAUGACUGCUGACACUUAGUCUUGUUUUUUAAUGACCUGAAGUAAAUAUUUUAUACGAGGAAUCUCAGGUUAUCCGUUCAUCAUCAUUUUCAGAUGUUUCAUGAUGUAGUCAUCGCUGUGAAAUCCUGAUAUCUUGCAUCAAAAAUGUACAUGAUAGAAGUAUUGGAACACUGUUACAUUUGAUGUCAGGACAUUUUUUGUACAAGAUCAAUGUAUAAUUGUGAUCAUGUUUGCAUGCUGUUGUCAGUAUUUAGCUCAAAGUACCACUGUGCCUAAAUAUUCUAAAUGAGGAGACAUUUUUCCCCACGUCUUUGGGAUUUUGAGGUAUUUUUGUCAUUUGUUAUCAAAUCCUAAUAUCUUGCUUUCACAUGAUGCCACAUUUUACCAAGAUCAGUGUAUAAUUUAUCAAUAAAGCUCAUCAAAGCAUGUUGAUGCAGUGUUUUAUUAACUGGAGUUUAAACUAUAUUUCCUCUAGAAUAGAACUUUGUUAAAGAUAUAGAAUUAACAUAUCUAAAUACAACUAGACUGAGUUGUGUUUUACAUCAUCCUAGAUGUUUCCAGCCAUGUUAUUACACAUAUAUAUUGUAUAUUACAUAUUUUGGACAAAAAAUAAGUUGAGAAAACAAAUAUUUGUACAUUUUUACUGUCACUUAUUGUGAUGUUAUGACAAGCUGAGCCUGAUUAAGUGUCAGACUCUUAAUCUGCAGCUGAGCCUCACGUGGAGGCAGAAAGACAAUUGGAGUAUUUACAGUAGAGUGUAAUAAAUAUUAUGAUUCCCACUGAAGAACCUGUGACUUCAUUAUAGCAGUAAUGACGUAGUCUGAAUAUUACAGGCUGGCACACACAGGGUGCGCGUAUGGCAAGCUGUUCUAACAUUUAAUAGCUAGACUGGAUAUGUAUUGCAGAUAUCUGUAAUUCAAUUCUUCCUAGUCAAAUAGAACAUUUCAGAUAUCUACAAUGGCAUUCUUCCUAGGACAAAUGACGCCACUUUUGCCAUUCAUGUGUAUUGGGCUUUCAAUUCACACAAUAUCCACAAUUACAUUCUGGAUAUCUAGAAUGAACAUUCUGGAUAUCUGCAGCUG